rnacentral:rRNA from 1 species
CCUACGGGGUGCUGCAGUGGGGAAUAUUGGACAAUGGGCGAAAGCCUGAUCCAGCCAUGCCGCGUGUGUGAAGAAGGCCUUCGGGUUGUAAAGCACUUUCAGUGGGGAAGAAAGCCUUGGGGCUAAUACCCUCGAGGAAGGACAUCACCCACAGAAGAAGCACCGGCUAACUCCGUGCCAGCAGCCGCGGUAAUACGGAGGGUGCGAGCGUUAAUCGGAAUUACUGGGCGUAAAGCGCGCGUAGGCGGUCUGAUAAGCCGGUUGUGAAAGCCCCGGGCUCAACCUGGGAACGGCAUCCGGAACUGUCAGGCUAGAGUGCAGGAGAGGAAGGUAGAAUUCCCGGUGUAGCGGUGAAAUGCGUAGAGAUCGGGAGGAAUACCAGUGGCGAAGGCGGCCUCCUGGACUGACACUGACGCUGAGGUGCGAAAGCGUGGGUAGCAAACAGGAUUAGAUACCCUAGUAGUC